CCUACGGGAGGCAGCAGUGAGGAAUAUUGGGCAAUGGGCGUAAGCCUGAACCAGCCAAGUCGCGUGAGGGAUGAAGGUUCUAUGGAUCGUAAACCUCGUUUAUAAGGGAAUAAAGUGUGGGACGUGUCCUAUUUUGUAUGUACCUUAUGAAUAAGGAUCGGCUAACUCCGUGCCAGCAGCCGCGGUAAUACGGAGGAUCCGAUCGUUAUCCGGAUUUAUUGGGUUUAAAGGGUGCGUAGGCGGCCUUUUAAGUCAGCGGUGAAAGUCUGUGGCGCAACCAUAGAAUUGCCGUUGAAACUGGGGGGCUUGAGUAUGUUAGAGGAAGGCGGAAUGCGGGGUGUAGCGGUGAAAUGCUUAGAGAUCACGCAGAACCCCGAUUGCGAAGGCAGCCUGCCAAGCCAUGACUGACGCUGAUGCACGAAAGCGUGGGGAUCAAACAGGAUUAGAUACCCUUGUAGUC
rnacentral:rRNA from 1 species